GACAAGUAUAUAUACACAAAUUCAGACUGUACGGGUCAAAUUCUUAAGGAUGCUUUAUAUGGCGGCGUGGGAGCAGCCAUUGGUGUCUUGGUCGUCAUCAUUUGCACCGUACUAUUCCUCCUGUACAGAGCGAAAAAAUCACAGAAGGACAGAGAGGCAAUCCUGAAUGACACUGACCAGUGGUUUGAAGAAGACAAAGAUGAUGAAUGGCGUAACAUCAUUACCAUAAAUGAUUCAAAUCAAAGCGAGCAAGGCUCUUCCAAAGAGAACUUUAGACCAGCCUUGGAAAAAGUCAACACACAGAUUGAGGUGAAGAUACAAAGACCUACCUUGAUCCAUUCCUGGGACAAUCAGUCUUCUGGAUCAACAAAUGAAGAGGAGAACUUCUGAAGAUCUUCACACCUUUGCG